GGCGGAUGUAGCCAAGUGGAUC
rnacentral:tRNA from 34 species